CGGGGUAUAGCUCAGUUUGGCAGAGUGCUGCGUUCGGGACGCAGAGGCCGUCGGUUCAAAUCCGACUACCCCGA
rnacentral:tRNA from 1 species